rnacentral:rRNA from 1 species
AGAUUAGAGUUUGAUCCUGGCUCAGGAUGAACGCUAGCGGCAGGCCUAACACAUGCAAGUCGAACGGUAACAGGAAAUAGCUUGCUAUUUUGCUGACGAGUGGCGCACGGGUGCGUAACGCGUAUACAAUCUACCUUUUGCUGAGGGAUAGCCCAGAGAAAUUUGGAUUAAUACCUCAUGGUAUUAUUGAUAGGCAUCUAUUAAUAAUUAAAGGUUACGGCAAAAGAUGAGUAUGCGUCCCAUUAGCUAGUUGGUGAAGUAACGGUUCACCAAGGCAACGAUGGGUAGGGGUCCUGAGAGGGAGAUCCCCCACACUGGUACUGAGACACGGACCAGACUCCUACGGGAGGCAGCAGUGAGGAAUAUUGGACAAUGGGCGAGAGCCUGAUCCAGCCAUGCCGCGUGCAGGAAGACUGCCCUAUGGGUUGUAAACUGCUUUUAUACAGGAAGAAUAAGCCUUACGUGUAAGGUGAUGACGGUACUGUAAGAAUAAGGACCGGCUAACUCCGUGCCAGCAGCCGCGGUAAUACGGAGGGUCCGAGCGUUAUCCGGAAUUAUUGGGUUUAAAGGGUCCGUAGGCGGAUGAUUAAGUCAGGGGUGAAAGUUUGCAGCUCAACUGUAAAAUUGCCUUUGAUACUGGUCAUCUUGAGUUGUAUUGAAGUAGGCGGAAUAUGUAGUGUAGCGGUGAAAUGCAUAGAUAUUACAUAGAACACCAAUUGCGAAGGCAGCUU